rnacentral:rRNA from 1 species
UACGAAGGGGGCUAGCGUUGUUCGGAAUACUGGGCGUAAAGCGCGCGCAGGCGGCUCUUCAAGUCAGGGGUGAAAGCCCAGAGCUCAACUCUGGAACUGCCUUUGAGACUGAAGAGCUUGAGUACGGGAGAGGUGAGUGGAAUUCCCAGUGUAGAGGUGAAAUUCGUAGAUAUUGGGAAGAACACCGGUGGCGAAAGGCGGCUCACUGGCCCGUUACUGACGCUCAGGCGCGAAC